rnacentral:rRNA from 1 species
CCUUGGUAGCGCAGCUAACGCGUGAAGUUGACCGCCUGGGGAGUACGGUCGCAAGAUUAAAACUCAAAGGAAUUGACGGGGACCCGCACAAGCGGUGGAUGAUGUGGAUUAAUUCGAUGCAACGCGAAAAACCUUACCUACCCUUGACAUGUCUGGAAUUCCGAAGAGAUUUGGAAGUGCUCGCAAGAGAACCGGAACACAGGUGCUGCAUGGCUGUCGUCAGCUCGUGUCGUGAGAUGUUGGGUUAAGUCCCGCAACGAGCGCAACCCUUGUCAUUAGUUGCUACGAAAGGGCACUCUAAUGAGACUGCCGGUGACAAACCGGAGGAAGGUGGGGAUGACGUCAAGUCCUCAUGGCCCUUAUGGGUAGGGCUUCACACGUCAUACAAUGGUCGGGACAGAGGGUCGCCAACCCGCGAGGGGGAGCCAAUCCCAGAAACCCGAUCGUAGUCCGGAUCGCAGUCUGCAACUCGACUGCGUGAAGUCGGAAUCGCUAGUAAUCGCGGAUCAGCAUGUCGCGGUGAAUACGUUCCCGGGUCUUGUACACACCGCCCGUCACACCAUGGGAGUGGGUUUUACCAGAAGUAGUUAGCCUAACCGUAAGGGGGGCGAUUACCACGGUAGGAUUCAUGACUGGGGUGAAGUCGUAACAAGGUAGCCGUAUCGGAAGGUGCGGCUGGAUCACCUCCUUU